UAAAAUUGUAUCUGUGUGCCAGAUUAUCGUUUGAUUGCAAUUUCGAAGACAGAAUAAGUUCGAAAGUGAAUAAUUUUUGUGCAUAUCGUGACAAUUAGGAGAUAAUCCGACGAUUUUUAUGCUAAAAAUAUGUCUUUCUAGGAAAUUGACGGUCACACGUUCCAAAUUGUCGAAUCGCUGAAUGUAUCCCCUCUCUAAUUUAUAAUUCGAAAUCAAAACACGGCGUAUCAUUUGAUUAUUGAAAUUCGUAAUGGCUAGACGCUUUAAGUAU